rnacentral:rRNA from 1 species
GAUGAACGCUAGCGGCAGGCUUAAUACAUGCAAGUCGAGGGGCAGCGGGGGUAGCAAUACCUGCCGGCGACCGGCAAACGGGUGCGGAACACGUACAGAACCUUCCUUUAAGUGGGGGAUAGCCCGGAGAAAUCCGGAUUAAUACCCCGUAACAUUAUGAAGUGGCAUCACUUUAUAAUUAUAGAUUUAUCGCUUAGAGAUGGCUGUGCGGCUGAUUAGGUAGUUGGUGUGGGUAACGGCCCACCAAGCCAGCGAUCAGUAACUGGUGUGAGAGCACGACCAGUCACACGGGCACUGAGACACGGGCCCGACUCCUACGGGAGGCAGCAGUAAGGAAUAUUGGUCAAUGGACGCAAGUCUGAACCAGCCAUGCCGCGUGAAGGAUGAAGGCCCUCUGGGUUGUAAACUUCUUUUAUCUGGGACGAAACNCUCUUAUUCUUAAGAGCUUGACGGUACCAGAGGAAUAAGCACCGGCUAACUCCGUGCCAG